rnacentral:rRNA from 1 species
UGCAAGUCGAGCGCGCCCUUCGGGGUGAGCGGCGGACGGGUUAGUAACGCGUGGGAAUAUGCCCAAAGGUACGGAAUAGCCUCUGGAAACGGAGAGUAAUACCGUAUGUGCCCUUCGGGGGAAAGAUUUAUCGCCUUUGGAUUAGCCCGCGUUAGAUUAGGUAGUUGGUGGGGUAAUGGCCUACCAAGCCUACGAUCUAUAGCUGGUUUUAGAGGAUGAUCAGCAACACUGGGACUGAGACACGGCCCAGACUCCUACGGGAGGCAGCAGUGGGGAAUCUUGGACAAUGGGGGCAACCCUGAUCCAGCCAUGCCGCGUGAGUGAUGAAGGCCUUAGGGUCGUAAAGCUCUUUCGCCUGUGAAGAUAAUGACGGUAGCAGGUAAAGAAACCCCGGCUAACUCCGUGCCAGCAGCCGCGGUAAUACGGAGGGGGUUAGCGUUGUUCGGAAUUACUGGGCGUAAAGCGCACGUAGGCGGAUCGGAAAGUUGGGGGUGAAAUCCCGGGGCUCAACCCCGGAACUGCCUCCAAAACUAUCGGUCUAGAGUUCGAGAGAGGUGAGUGGAAUUCCGAGUGUAGAGGUGAAAUUCGUAGAUAUUCGGAGGAACACCAGUGGCGA